GAUUAACGCUAGCGGCAGGCCUAAUACAUGCAAGUUGUACGGGAUUAUUGGUAGCAAUACUGAUAUGAGAGUAGCGCACGGGUGCGUAACACGUAUGCAACCUACCUUUAACUGGGGAAUAGCCUUCCGAAAGGAAGAUUAAUACCGCAUAACAUUGCGAAACGACAUCGUUUUGCAAUUAAACCUACGGGGGUUAGAGAUGGGCAUGCGUCCGAUUAGCUAGUUGGCGGGGAAUAGCCCACCAAGGCAACGAUCGGUAGGGGUCUGAGAGGAUGACUCCCCCACACUGGUACUGAGACACGGACCAGACUCCUACGGGAGGCAGCAGUAAGGAAUAUUGGACAAGUGGGGGCAACCCUG
rnacentral:rRNA from 1 species